CCUACGGGAGGCAGCAGUGAGGAAUAUUGGUCAAUGGGCUUACGCCUGAACCAGCCAAGUCGCGUGAGGGAAGACUGCCCUAUGGGUUGUAAACCUCUUUUGUCAGGGAGCAAUUGGCGCUACGUGUAGCGUUAUCGAGAGUACCUGAAGAAAAAGCAUCGGCUAACUCCGUGCCAGCAGCCGCGGUAAUACGGAGGAUGCGAGCGUUAUCCGGAUUUAUUGGGUUUAAAGGGUGCGUAGGCGGAAUGCCAAGUCAGCGGUAAAAUCGCGGGGCUCAACCUCGCUCCGCCGUUGAAACUGGCGUUCUUGAGGGGCAGAGAAGUAUGAGGAAGGGGGGGUGUGGGGGUGAAAUGCAUAGAUAUCACGAAGAACUCCGAUUGCGAAGGCAGCAUACCGGGGCCCAACUGACGCUGAAGCACGAAAGCGUGGGUAUCGAACAGGAUUAGAUACCCCGGUAGU
rnacentral:rRNA from 1 species